GGUGAAGCUGAGUUCCUUGAAAGAGUGCAUGAAGUGAAGAAAAGCAGCGCAGGCCCUGAACCAAAUUGAAUGACUGGCAGGAGAAAAAGCUCCAGAUGAAGAAUAUCGUUAAGGAGUCCAACAGAGUGAAAUCCUUGAAUAUAGUCUUGCAGUGAAGAAUUCGUUAUCUCAGUAGUUGAGACUUUUCUGGUCCUUUUUUUGACAGAAGAAGGUCAGAAAGUGAUUGGUUAUUAAAGACCUCAGCAAUGAAACUUCUCCUGAAAGAAGAGGAUAGAACUUCAAAGGAAAAUGAAAUGCCUGAUUGGUUUAUUCAUCCAUUUAGCAAAAAGGUGGCUGAUGACAGAAUAUCAAACAAUCAAUGUUCUAUACAGCACCUGGAUACUGGAGCUUUUAGCAUAUUCUUCCUAUAACAUUUGAAGUUACCCAUUGUCCAAAUAUUUUUGUACUAAAG